UAAUUUAAAAAAACAUAUUUGGAAGACCAGGGGAGAAAUGACAGGGAAUUAAGGGAAUGUGAACUGAGAACAGGUCUUUUUGUAAAGUGCUGAAGAACUAGAGUGAUGUUCUAUCUGGAAGGCAUUUACUCAGAUAUUUUUAUUUGAUCUAUUGCCAGUACAUUUGACCUAUCCUGGCAUAAAGAGUUCCUAGCUGUUUUCUUGAGUUUCCCAUUUAAAGUUAAGUACAUUCUAGCUGCCCAAAAAGUGCAUAUUUAUGAUGCAUUGCCUUUUAUGAGGCUCAAACAUAGAAUGGCAAAUUCAUGCCAAGAAUGGCUUUCAUGGAAAACGGAUAUGUGAGAUUAUAUGAGGUCCUUAUAUCCUUGUAUUGUUUACUCCAUGAAACCUCAUCUCUCUUCUGAAGCCCCAAUAAAAAAAAGAUAAGGAUAACUCUUCAACCCUAUUGAGAGAAACAGAAAGGGUCUAAAUAAGAGAAAUGCUUCAUUGGAAAAUCAAAUAAUAUUUUCCUAAGUUUGGUUUAGCUAGUUAGUGAAAUCUUUAAGGUCUUUGAAAUAGUAUCAGGAUUCAAAAAAUUUGUGUCUUUUCAAGUAAAAGUAGAAUAAGAGUUUUUGUUUUGUUUUGUUUUAUUUUUUAGACAAGGGUUCACUCCUGUCGCCCAGAUGGGAGUACAGUGGUGUGAUCUCAACUCACCGCAGCCACCAGAGACAGGGUUUUGCCGUGUUGCCCAAGCUGGUCUGGAAUGCCUGGGCACAAGCGAUCCACCUGCCUCAGCCUCCCAAGUGCUGGAAUUACAGGAGUGAGCCACCGUGCCCGGCCUAGAAUAAAAGUCUUGACUACAUAGAAACUCUUUGAGAUUAAAUAGACCUUUCUUUUAAACUGACCUAGAUAUUCUUUAAAAAUUAUUUUCAACGAAUGCAUUGCAGUUUAAAAUUCUGAUAUCAACUAUUUUUAUCCUAAUUGUUUUUCAGUGAAAUGAAUGGUUUUUGAAUAUUUGACGCCUGAUGAAAAUGAGGAAUAACUAGACAAAGUCUUGGGAAGAAUCUAGAAGUUAGUCUGCAGAAACCCAAGUACCAGUCAGAAGUUAGGAUUGUAAACCAAAAAGUAUCUGAGACAGGUCUCAGUCAAUUUAGAAAGUUUAUUUUGCCAAGGAUAAGGAUGUGCCUAUGACAUAGCCUUCUGAGGUCCUGAUGACAUGCGUCCAAGGUAGUCAGGGCCCAGCCUGAUUUUAUACAUUUUAGGGAGACAUGAGACCUCAAUCAAUCUACGUGAGAUGUACAUUGGUUUGGUCUGAAAAGGUGGGACAACUAGAAGAAGGGAAGGGGGCUUCCAGGUCAUAGGUAGAUAAGCGACAACAGGUGCAUUUUUUCGAGUUUC
rnacentral:lncRNA from 1 species